rnacentral:misc_RNA from 1 species
GGCUGAUGGCGGCGAGGG